rnacentral:rRNA from 1 species
GAGUUUGAUCUUGGCUCAGGGCGAACGCUGGCGGCGUGCUUAACACAUGCAAGUCGAGCGAGAACCUGGAAGCUUGCUUCCAGGGGACAGCGGCGAACGGGUGCGUAACACGUGGGCAACCUGCCCCUCUCACUGGGAUAACCCCGGGAAACCGGAGCUAAUACCGGAUACUCCGGCUGGAUCGCAUGGUCCGGCCGGGAAAGGUCCGCCGGAGAGGGAUGGGCCCGCGGCCUAUCAGCUUGUUGGUGGGGUAACGGCUCACCAAGGCGACGACGGGUAGCUGGUCUGAGAGGACGACCAGCCACACUGGAACUGAGAUACGGUCCAGACUCCUACGGGAGGCAGCAGUGGGGAAUAUUGCGCAAUGGGCGAAAGCCUGACGCAGCGACGCCGCGUGGGGGAUGAAUGCCUUCGGUUGUAACCCUUUCGGCAGGGACGAAGCGAACGUGACGGUACCUGCAGAAGAAGUCCCGGCUAACUACGUGCCAGCAGCAGCCGCCGCAGUAAU